AUAAUGGGUCAGCGACUUAUAUUCUGUAGCAAGGUUAACCGAAUAGGGGAGCCGAAGGGAAACCGAGUCUUAACUGGGCGUUAAGUUGCAGGGUAUAGACCCGAAACCCGGUGAUCUAGCCAUGGGCAGGUUGAAGGUUGGGUAACACUAACUGGAGGACCGAACCGACUAAUGUUGAAAAAUUAGCGGAUGACUUGUGGCUGGGGGUGAAAGGCCAAUCAAACCGGGAGAUAGCUGGUUCUCCCCGAAAGCUAUUUAGGUAGCGCCUCGUGAAUUCAUCUCCGGGGGUAGAGCAC
rnacentral:rRNA from 1 species